rnacentral:rRNA from 1 species
UACGUAGGGUGCGAGCGUUGUCCGGAAUUAUUGGGCGUAAAGAGCUCGUAGGCGGUUUGUUGCGUCUAUCGUGAAAACCUGCAGCUUAACUGUGGGCUUGCGGUGGAUACGGGCAGACUUGAGUUCGGUAGGGGAGACUGGAAUUCCUGGUGUAGCGGUGAAAUGCGCAGAGUAUCAGGAGGAACACCGGUGGCGAAGGCGGGUCUCUGGGCCGUAACUGACGCUGAGGAGCGAAAGCGUGGGGAGCGAACAGG